GAAACACGCCAUUUUUUUCCUUCAUUUCCUAUUAUAUUAACUAACAUAUAGAUCAAAGUAUAAAUUCAAAAAUUCAUGAGUUAUUUUCAAACUUUUCAACUUCCUUAAUUUAUAAUAAAAUAACUAUUACCUUCACUCAAUUAUUAAGAUUUGAUAACGUGUAAAUUAUCAAACUCUUUUGUCACCUAACUCAAAACUCUACUAUCUACCUCCCUCUCGAAAUUAGAUCAUUCAAGUUCACGCCCACGUUUUCCAUUUUUACCAUCUCGUUCAAAUCCCCUCCACUUCAGGAAUAGCAUAUAACAUUGUGCAGGUCAAUAAUAAAGGACUCUUCAAAUUCUCCGGAUUGCACAACUUAUGUGCCACACCAAUUGGACGAAAAGCUAAAAUAGCUUGUUGUGUGUUAUUGCCUUUCAUACCUCUGUCAACUCAAGAUCAUUCGAGCUGGAUCAACACUUUCUGCUGCACUUAUCUGUUGAGGGAAACUGAAAUUUGAAGUUCAAAGAAGCAAACGAGUUUCUCGUCUUCACUUGUGAGCAGAACAUGUUAAUCAAUUUAAUCAAUUAAAAGGCAGAGUUGAGUAAAUGAUUGAAGAAAAAUUUCAAGUGAUGGUUGUAGCUCAAGGUUGACAAUCAAAUGAUGAAAACUAAUCGUAAGUAGCUUAUUUAUAUAUUUUUUUUGUAUUACUAAAUAUGUUAUUUCUAUGAAGAAAAUAUUCAUAUGAACAAAUAAAUUUUAGUUUUAAAAUAAAUAUUUUAUAAUAUCAUUUUCUUAUUAUUU